CCUCUAUCGGUAGUGUGGUCAGUAGUGAGGUCAGUAGUGUGAGCGGUAGUGUGGUCAGUAGUGUGGUCAGUAGUGAGGUCAGUAGUGUGGUCAGUAGUGUGGUCAGUAGUGAGGUCAGUAGUGUGGUCAGUAGUGUGGUCAGUAGUGCGAGCGGUAGUGUGGUCAGUAGUGUGGUUAGUAGUGAGGUCAGUAGUGUAGUCAGUAGUGAGGUCAGUAGUGACGUCAGUAGUGUGGUCAGUAGUGUGGUCAGUAGUGAGGUCAGUAGUGUGGUUAGUAGUGAGGUCAGUAGUGUGGUUAGUAGUGAGGUCAGUAGUGUGGUUAGUAGUGUGGUUAGUAGUGAGGUCAGUAGUGUAGUCAGUAGUGAGGUCAGUAGUGACGUCAGUAGUGUGGUCAGUAGUGUGGUCAGUAGUGAGGUCAGUAGUGAAGUCAGUAGUGUGGUCAGUAGUGAGGUCAGUAGUGAGGUCAGUAGUGUGGUCAGUAGUGAGGUCAGUAGUGUGGUUAGUAGUGAAGUCAGUAGUGUGGUCAGUAGUGAGGUCAGUAGUGAGGUCAGUAGUGUGGUCAGUAGUGAGGUCAGUAGUGUGGUCAGUAGUGAGGUCAGUAGUGAGGUCAGUAGUGUGGUCAGUAGUGAGGUCAGUAGUGUGGUCAGUAGUGAGGUCAGUAGUGAGGUCAGUAGUGCAAGCUGUACUCACGGCGUGGCUGGGAGCGGGUCAGGGUGCUCUGGCCCUGGUAGCC